rnacentral:rRNA from 1 species
AUUGAACGCUGGCGGAAUGCUUUACACAUGCAAGUCGAGCGGCAGCGCGGUCUUCGGACUGGCGGCGAGCGGCGAACGGGUGAGUAAUACAUCGGAACAUGCCCAGUCGUGGGGGAUAACACUUCGAAAGAAGUGCUAAUACCGCAUACGUCCUGAGGGAGAAAGCGGGGGAUCGUAAGACCUCGCGCGAUUGGAGUGGCUGAUGGCAGAUUAGCUAGUUGGUGGGGUAAAGGCCUACCAAGGCAACGAUCUGUAGCUGGUCUGAGAGGAUGAUCAGCCACACUGGGACUGAGACACGGCCCAGACUCCUACGGGAGGCAGCAGUGGGGAAUUUUGGACAAUGGGGGCAACCCUGAUCCAGCCAUUCCGCGUGAGUGAAGAAGGCCUUCGGGUUGUAAAGCUCUUUCGGCAGGAACGAAACGGCGAGCUCUAACAUAGCUCGCUAAUGACGGUACCUGAAGAAGAAGCACCGGCUAACUACGUGCCAGCAGCCGCCGUAAUAC